rnacentral:rRNA from 1 species
GAGGGCCUCAGAUUAGCCAUGGCAUGGUCUAAGUAUAAAUAGGCUAUACAAUGAAACUAGCGAAUGGGCUCAUUAAAACAGUUAUAGUUUAUUUGGUAAUCAAAAUUACAUGGAUAACCGUGGUAAUUCUAGAGCUAAUACAUGCUGUUAAGCCUGACUUUUUGAGAGGGCUGUAUUUAUUAGAUUCAAGACCAAUAUUCCUCGUGUCUAUUGUGGUGACUCAUAGUAACUGAUCGGAUCGCACGGGCGUGCCCGCGACAAACCAUUCAAGUUUCUGCCCCAUCAGCUUUCGAUGGUAGUGUAUUGGACUACCAUGGCGUUUACGGGUAACGGAGGAUUAGGGUUCGAUUCCGGAGAGGGAGCCUGAGAAACGGCUACCACAUCUAAGGAAGGCAGCAGGCGCGUAAAUUACCCAAUCCUGACUCAGGGAGGUAGUGACAAGAAAUAACGGGCCGGGUUUCAAAUCCGGGACUGAAAUGAGAUGAAUUUACACCCCUUAU